GUUUUAAAAAGCUGCUACGUACAUAGAUAAAACUAGGAAGGUAUGGGGUGUAAUUCUACUAUAUUAUUUAGGAAAUACAUUUUAAAUAUAACCUUAUUUUUUGUAAGUAAUUACAUAGGUAUGCCAUUAGAAAUAAAAUUUUAAAGAGUAAAUUAAUUCAUUUCUUUAAAAAUUAAAAAGUCAAAUACUAAUUUAAUU
rnacentral:sRNA from 1 species